UUGUAAUGCAAGUCACAUUUUAAUAUAGUUUUAAAGUCUUCCAAAUAUAGUAGCAAAUUUAAUCAGAAAAAACACCUGAAACAUCUUAACUAUUAGUACAUUAUUUUAAAGGAUUAUUUCCCUGAUUCCUUGGCUUACUAAACUGUAUUUAUAAAGGUAUAAACUACUGAUUUUUCCAUUUGAGUAUUAUACUAAAUGUAAUUUAGCUGAUAAUUAUAAAUAAAAUUGUUGACUAAGAUCAUGUUUUAAAUAGGGAAAAAAGUUUCCCUUAGUAAACUGGUAAAGACUGUAAGUUGAUAUUUUCAAACUUUUGAUUACUAUAAAGUAGUAAGCAAUAAAAUCCACAUCCCCACAAAAACUUCACUUUUCUUCUAUUGCAAAAAUCUUUACAAAAAAUGUACUCUGAGUGCAUUAUCCGUGUUUGCUUUAAAAAUCAACAAACAUACCAAAAUAAUUCAUCAAGAAAUCAAAGCAAAGAAACAGUUAUCAGUAUCAGGUUUGCUAAAAGAAUAAAUUACUGUGGAAGACAUCCGAGGAGUCUAAAAUGAAUUUGUUGUAGCAGUAACAAGGCUUCAGGCUGAUUCUUAUACUGUUGUUAAAGCAGCCCUCCCGUGCUUUACAGUGAAAAAAAUCAGUGAAUAUUUCUUUAUUUUAAAAAAUUAUCAAUAGCUUCAAAAUAAUGUUUAAACUUGCCUUGAGAACAUGUACUGGCUAUGAUAAAUCCAUUAUUUGACAUAUUGGGUGAGUUUUUUUAGUGAUCUAAAAGAAAUUGGCUAAAACCCAUACAUGACAGGUUUGGGAAGCUCUAACUCAGGUCAGAAAAGUGGGAGAGAGAUCAGAUCCUUUUUAUGGAAUGAAAGAGCAACAAUUUAAAUAUCUUUUUUGAAAUAGUGAAACAUUUUGGGCUCAAUUAGUCUUUAUUACUUUCUUUCUUUUUACAGAGACGAGCCUGGGCAACAGUGAAACCCACCUCUAUAAACGAAAACAAAAACAAAAACACGAGCAGUAAGCUAAAAAUAUUAAAAUAUCAACACUAGCUUAUUCUCAAAAACAAUUUUCUGCUAUAUAAAGUGCUUGUAACUAAUAAUAUACAUUAAAAAUGGCAACUCUUAAGAUCAUGAAUGGCCUGUCUCACUGCCAGCAAUGAGAGUAGUAUAUGCUAAGGGACACCAUGAUAUUUAGAGAAGACAAAAAAUAUGUAUUCAAUUAUUUCCUAUAGUUCUAAUACUGUCAUUAUACCAGUAAGCAUAAAAUAAUCUUAUUUUGAUAUGGUAAUUAAACAAAAAUUAUUAUGGCAGAGUAAAAUGCAAGGAACUAACUCCUUAGGGAUUUCUGACCAUUAAGUAUUUUUACUAGUUCAUAAUGAAGUUAAAUAUGACUAGAACACAAUUCAGAAAAAAGAGACUAAUUUAUUUGUUUUAUAAAAUAGAAUGAGCGCUUA
rnacentral:lncRNA from 1 species